AGAGUUUGAUCAUGGCUCAGAUUGAACGCUGGCGGCAGGCCUAACACAUGCAAGUCGAACGGUAACAGGAAGCAGCUUGCUGCUUUGCUGACGAGUGGCGGACGGGUGAGUAAUGUCUGGGAAACUGCCUGAUGGAGGGGGAUAACUACUGGAAACGGUGGCUAAUACCGCAUAACGUCGCAAGACCAAAGAGGGGGACCUUCGGGCCUCUUGCCAUCAGAUGUGCCCAGAUGGGAUUAGCUUGUUGGUGAGGUAACGGCUCACCAAGGCGACGAUCCCUAGCUGGUCUGAGAGGAUGACCAGCCACACUGGAACUGAGACACGGUCCAGACUCCUACGGGAGGCAGCAGUGGGGAAUAUUGCACAAUGGGCGCAAGCCUGAUGCAGCCAUGCCGCGUGUAUGAAGAAGGCCUUCGGGUUGUAAAGUACUUUCAGCGGGGAGGAAGGUGUUGUGGUUAAUAACCGCAGCAAUUGACGUUACCCGCAGAAGAAGCACCGGCUAACUCCGUGCCAGCAGCCGCGGUAAUACGGAGGGUGCAAGCGUUAAUCGGAAUUACUGGGCGUAAAGCGCACGCAGGCGGUCUGUCAAGUCGGAUGUGAAAUCCCCGGGCUCAACCUGGGAACUGCAUUCGAAACUGGCAGGCUUGAGUCUUGUAGAGGGGGGUAGAAUUCCAGGUGUAGCGGUGAAAUGCGUAGAGAUCUGGAGGAAUACCGGUGGCGAAGGCGGCCCCCUGGACAAAGACUGACGCUCAGGUGCGAAAGCGUGGGGAGCAAACAGGAUUAGAUACCCUGGUAGUCCACGCCGUAAACGAUGUCUACUUGGAGGUUGUGCCCUUGAGGCGUGGCUUCCGGAGCUAACGCGUUAAGUAGACCGCCUGGGGAGUACGGCCGCAAGGUUAAAACUCAAAUGAAUUGACGGGGGCCCGCACAAGCGGUGGAGCAUGUGGUUUAAUUCGAUGCAACGCGAAGAACCUUACCUGGUCUUGACAUCCACAGAAGAAUCCAGAGAUGGAUUGGUGCCUUCGGGAACCGUGAGACAGGUGCUGCAUGGCUGUCGUCAGCUCGUGUUGUGAAAUGUUGGGUUAAGUCCCGCAACGAGCGCAACCCUUAUCCUUUGUUGCCAGCGGUUAGGCCGGGAACUCAAAGGAGACUGCCAGUGAUAAACUGGAGGAAGGUGGGGAUGACGUCAAGUCAUCAUGGCCCUUACGACCAGGGCUACACACGUGCUACAAUGGCGCAUACAAAGAGAAGCGACCUCGCGAGAGCAAGCGGACCUCAUAAAGUGCGUCGUAGUCCGGAUUGGAGUCUGCAACUCGACUCCAUGAAGUCGGAAUCGCUAGUAAUCGUGGAUCAGAAUGCCACGGUGAAUACGUUCCCGGGCCUUGUACACACCGCCCGUCACACCAUGGGAGUGGGUUGCAAAAGAAGUAGGUAGCUUAACCUUCGGGAGGGCGCUUACCACUUUGUGAUUCAUGACUGGGGUGAAGUCGUAACAAGGUAACCGUAGGGGAACCUGCGGUUG
rnacentral:rRNA from 1 species